AUGGAUUUGGAUGAAACUUAGCAUGAUAGUUCCUUAGAUUAUCCUGCACAAAGUGUGUGCUUCGAUUUUUGAUCCGUCAAAAAACAUGGCUGCCCUUACUUUAAAUAGAACAUAGGGGUCAAAUGCAGUUUUUGGCUUAUAUCUCAAAAACGAAAGCAUUUAGAGCAAAUCUGACAUGGGGUAAAAAUGUUCAUUAGGUCAAGAUCUAUCAGCCCUGCAAUUUUCAG
rnacentral:lncRNA from 1 species